CGGCAGCGCGGGGAGCUUGCUCCCUGGCGGCGAGUGGCGGACGGGUGAGUAACGCGUGGGAAUCUACCCAGUAGCGGGGGAUAACUCCGGGAAACCGGAGCUAAUACCGCAUACGCCCUACGGGGGAAAGCGGGGGAUCUUCGGACCUCGCACUAUUGGAUGAGCCCGCGUCGGAUUAGCUUGUUGGUGGGGUAAUGGCUCACCAAGGCGACGAUCCGUAGCUGGUUUGAGAGGAUGAUCAGCCACACUGGGACUGAGACACGGCCCAGACUCCUACGGGAGGCAGCAGUGGGGAAUAUUGGACAAUGGGCGAAAGCCUGAUCCAGCAAUGCCGCGUGUGUGAAGAAGGCCCUAGGGUUGUAAAGCACUUUCAGUGGGGAAGAAAAGCAUGGGGCUAAUACCCUCUUGUGCUGACGUUACCCACAGAAGAAGCACCGGCUAACUCCGUGCCAGCAGCCGCGGUAAUACGGAGGGUGCGAGCGUUAAUCGGAAUUACUGGGCGUAAAGGGCGCGUAGGUGGCCAGGUCAGUCGGGUGUGAAAGCCCCGAGCUCAACUCGGGAAUUGCAUUCGAUACUGCCUGGCUAGAGUGUGAUAGAGGGAAGCGGAAUUCCGGGUGUAGCGGUGAAACGCGUAGAUAUCCGGAGGAACACCAGUGGCGAAGGCGGCUUC
rnacentral:rRNA from 1 species